CAGAAAGCAAAUCGUAACAGCUUUGGUAAGUCCACAUAUUAGAUUAAAAUAUCAAUAUAUAAAAUUAUUCAUAAUAUAUAAGAGAUUUGUUUUAAGGACUUUAUCAUGAACAUUAGAACACUUUAGGAACUUCUGGCAUUCCUUAGUUGCUGACCACAUUCUUUAUGAAAAGGACACAUGCUCGUUUUGGCAGCACACAUACUAAAAUUUGAAUGACAGUGUGGCCCCUGUGCUAUCCAAGGAAAGAAAAAAAUUUAAAAAAGGACACAUGAAAUGAAUAAAAAAAAAAGAAUAAUUAGUUUCUCAACUGCAGGUGAGUUUAAUUAAAUAUCUGAUGGAUAAAAUGUAAUGAGAAGUAAAGUAUUAAUACUGCACUGGUCUUGAAAAUACUAUUUCAAAAUAGUAAGCCUGAAUUUUAAGAAACAAGUGAAUAUAACUUUGUACCUGAGUAAACUCAGGCUGUCUGUCUGGUCUUGAACCUUCAUCUCGAUAACAUCGGGCAACCUGAAAAUAUCUACAAUUGAGAAAUAGCAUUAAUUGAGUUAUGAUUCUAGGAAGACAUACACACUUUUCCCCAAAAUGCUGGGAUUACAGGUGUGAGCCACUGCGCCCGGCCAGAAAUGUCCAUUUUUAUUUAUUAAAAAAAAUUUCUUUUUGAG
rnacentral:lncRNA from 1 species